GAAACAUCUUCGGGUUGUGAGGUUAAGCGACUAAGCGUACACGGUGGAUGCCCUGGCAGUCAGAGGCGAUGAAGGACGUGCUAAUCUGCGAUAAGCGUCGGUAAGGUGAUAUGAACCGUUAUAACCGGCGAUUUCCGAAUGGGGAAACCCAGUGUGAUUCGUCACACUAUCAUUAACUGAAUCCAUAGGUUAAUGAGGCGAACCGGGGGAACUGAAACAUCUAAGUACCCCGAGGAAAAGAAAUCAACCGAGAUUCCCCCAGUAGCGGCGAGCGAACGGGGAGGAGCCCAGAGCCUGAAUCAGUGUGUGUGUUAGUGGAAGCGUCUGGAAAGGCGCGCGAUACAGGGUGACAGCCCCGUACACAAAAAUGCACAUGCUGUGAGCUCGAUGAGUAGGGCGGGACACGUGGUAUCCUGUCUGAAUAUGGGGGGACCAUCCUCCAAGGCUAAAUACUCCUGACUGACCGAUAGUGAACCAGUACCGUGAGGGAAAGGCGAAAAGAACCCCGGCGAGGGGAGUGAAAAAGAACCUGAAACCGUGUACGUACAAGCAGUGGGAGCACGCUUAGGCGUGUGACUGCGUACCUUUUGUAUAAUGGGUCAGCGACUUAUAUUCUGUAGCAAGGUUAACCGAAUAGGGGAGCCGAAGGGAAACCGAGUCUUAACUGGGCGUUAAGUUGCAGGGUAUAGACCCGAAACCCGGUGAUCUAGCCAUGGGCAGGUUGAAGGUUGGGUAACACUAACUGGAGGACCGAACCGACUAAUGUUGAAAAAUUAGCGGAUGACUUGUGGCUGGGGGUGAAAGGCCAAUCAAACCGGGAGAUAGCUGGUUCUCCCCGAAAGCUAUUUAGGUAGCGCCUCGUGAAUUCAUCUCCGGGGGUAGAGCACUGUUUCGGCAAGGGGGUCAUCCCGACUUACCAACCCGAUGCAAACUGCGAAUACCGGAGAAUGUUAUCACGGGAGACACACGGCGGGUGCUAACGUCCGUCGUGAAGAGGGAAACAACCCAGACCGCCAGCUAAGGUCCCAAAGUCAUGGUUAAGUGGGAAACGAUGUGGGAAGGCCCAGACAGCCAGGAUGUUGGCUUAGAAGCAGCCAUCAUUUAAAGAAAGCGUAAUAGCUCACUGGUCGAGUCGGCCUGCGCGGAAGAUGUAACGGGGCUAAACCAUGCACCGAAGCUGCGGCAGCGACGCUUAUGCGUUGUUGGGUAGGGGAGCGUUCUGUAAGCCUGUGAAGGUGUGCUGUGAGGCAUGCUGGAGGUAUCAGAAGUGCGAAUGCUGACAUAAGUAACGAUAAAGCGGGUGAAAAGCCCGCUCGCCGGAAGACCAAGGGUUCCUGUCCAACGUUAAUCGGGGCAGGGUGAGUCGACCCCUAAGGCGAGGCCGAAAGGCGUAGUCGAUGGGAAACAGGUUAAUAUUCCUGUACUUGGUGUUACUGCGAAGGGGGGACGGAGAAGGCUAUGUUGGCCGGGCGACGGUUGUCCCGGUUUAAGCGUGUAGGCUGGUUUUCCAGGCAAAUCCGGAAAAUCAAGGCUGAGGCGUGAUGACGAGGCACUACGGUGCUGAAGCAACAAAUGCCCUGCUUCCAGGAAAAGCCUCUAAGCAUCAGGUAACAUCAAAUCGUACCCCAAACCGACACAGGUGGUCAGGUAGAGAAUACCAAGGCGCUUGAGAGAACUCGGGUGAAGGAACUAGGCAAAAUGGUGCCGUAACUUCGGGAGAAGGCACGCUGAUAUGUAGGUGAAGCGACUUGCUCGUGGAGCUGAAAUCAGUCGAAGAUACCAGCUGGCUGCAACUGUUUAUUAAAAACACAGCACUGUGCAAACACGAAAGUGGACGUAUACGGUGUGACGCCUGCCCGGUGCCGGAAGGUUAAUUGAUGGGGUUAGCGCAAGCGAAGCUCUUGAUCGAAGCCCCGGUAAACGGCGGCCGUAACUAUAACGGUCCUAAGGUAGCGAAAUUCCUUGUCGGGUAAGUUCCGACCUGCACGAAUGGCGUAAUGAUGGCCAGGCUGUCUCCACCCGAGACUCAGUGAAAUUGAACUCGCUGUGAAGAUGCAGUGUACCCGCGGCAAGACGGAAAGACCCCGUGAACCUUUACUAUAGCUUGACACUGAACAUUGAGCCUUGAUGUGUAGGAUAGGUGGGAGGCUUUGAAGUGUGGACGCCAGUCUGCAUGGAGCCGACCUUGAAAUACCACCCUUUAAUGUUUGAUGUUCUAACGUUGACCCGUAAUCCGGGUUGCGGACAGUGUCUGGUGGGUAGUUUGACUGGGGCGGUCUCCUCCUAAAGAGUAACGGAGGAGCACGAAGGUUGGCUAAUCCUGGUCGGACAUCAGGAGGUUAGUGCAAUGGCAUAAGCCAGCUUGACUGCGAGCGUGACGGCGCGAGCAGGUGCGAAAGCAGGUCAUAGUGAUCCGGUGGUUCUGAAUGGAAGGGCCAUCGCUCAACGGAUAAAAGGUACUCCGGGGAUAACAGGCUGAUACCGCCCAAGAGUUCAUAUCGACGGCGGUGUUUGGCACCUCGAUGUCGGCUCAUCACAUCCUGGGGCUGAAGUAGGUCCCAAGGGUAUGGCUGUUCGCCAUUUAAAGUGGUACGCGAGCUGGGUUUAGAACGUCGUGAGACAGUUCGGUCCCUAUCUGCCGUGGGCGCUGGAGAAUUGAGGGGGGCUGCUCCUAGUACGAGAGGACCGGAGUGGACGCAUCACUGGUGUUCGGGUUGUCAUGCCAAUGGCACUGCCCGGUAGCUAAAUGCGGAAGAGAUAAGUGCUGAAAGCAUCUAAGCACGAAACUUGCCCCGAGAUGAGUUCUCCCUGACUCCUUGAGAGUCCUGAAGGAACGUUGAAGACGACGACGUUGAUAGGCCGGGUGUGUAAGCGCAGCGAUGCGUUGAGCUAACCGGUACUAAUGAACCGUGAGGCUUAACCUU
rnacentral:rRNA from 1 species